GCACGGGUGAGUAACACGUAUCCAACCUGCCGUCUACUCUUGGACAGCCUUCUGAAAGGAAGAUUAAUACAAGAUGGCAUCAUGAGUCCACAUGUUCACAUGAUUAAAGGUAUUCCGGUAGACGAUGGGGAUGCGUUCCAUUAGAUAGUAGGCGGGGUAACGGCCCACCUAGUCUUCGAUGGAUAGGGGUUCUGAGAGGAAGGUCCCCCACAUUGGAACUGAGACACGGUCCAAACUCCUACGGGAGGCAGCAGUGAGGAAUAUUGGUCAAUGGGCGAGAGCCUGAACCAGCCAAGUAGCGUGAAGGAUGACUGCCCUAUGGGUUGUAAACUUCUUUUAUAAAGGAAUAAAGUCGGGUAUGCAUACCCGUUUGCAUGUACUUUAUGAAUAAGGAUCGGCUAACUCCGUGCCAGCAGCCGCGGUAAUACGGAGGAUCCGAGCGUUAUCCGGA
rnacentral:rRNA from 1 species